AUACUAAUGGUUUAAAAGUUAGAUCGUUUAUUCUAUCCAUAUCAAUAUUUUCCUGUGAUAUCGGUCACUCUUCCACAGAUAUAAUGGUCGGAACUACAAUUUAAAAAUCGUCUAAGUUGAAAUAUUGUUUUUAUAUAAUUUGUUCGUUUGAAACUUAAUGUUUAUUUUACUCCUUAUUUUAACGUUAUCACCCAUUUUUUUUACAUUUACUUGUUGAUUUAUGGCAGUUUUACUUACUUCAAGC
rnacentral:misc_RNA from 1 species